rnacentral:rRNA from 1 species
GAUGAACGCUGGCGGCGUGCCUAAUACAUGCAAGUCGAGCGAACGGACGAGAAGCUUGCUUCUCUGAUGUUAGCGGCGGACGGGUGAGUAACACGUGGAUAACCUACCUAUAAGACUGGGAUAACUUCGGGAAACCGGAGCUAAUACCGGAUGAUAUUUUGAACCGCAUGGUUCAAAAGUGAAAGACGGUCUUGCUGUCACUUAUAGAUGGAUCCGCGCUGCAUUAGCUAGUUGGUAAGGUAACGGCUUACCAAGGCAACGAUGCAUAGCCGACCUGAGAGGGUGAUCGGCCACACUGGAACGGAGACACGGUCCAGACUCCUACGGGAGGCAGCAGUAGGGAAUCUUCCGCAAUGGGCGAAAGCCUGACGGAGCAACGCCGCGUGAGUGAUGAAGGUCUUCGGAUCGUAAAACUCUGUUAUUAGGGAAGAACAUAUGUGUAAGUAACUGUGCACAUCUUGACGGUACCUAAUCAGAAAGCCACGGCUAACUAC